rnacentral:rRNA from 1 species
GUCNUUGUUAUCUUAUCCAGACAGAGACUAGCGUACCUCUUAAGUAUGGUGUUAAAGUUAUUUUAUAUUAGACCUGAUGUCAAAUUUAUUCUUUGACAAAUAUUUUACCCUUGAGCCUGAUGUCAACAUUUUUUGUUAGGCCUGAUAUAAAAAUAUUUAUUAUCAGCCCUGAUGUCAUACUUAUUUUUUUUUAAAGACCAAAGUAAAAUGUAUUUUCUAUGGUUUGGUAUCUUAAUUAUUUUGUUCUUAGACACGUCAAACUAUUUCCUAUUAGGCAUGAUGUCAAACGAUUUUUUUUAUUG